rnacentral:rRNA from 1 species
AGCAGUAGCCGCGGUAAUACGUAGGGCGCAAGCGUUAUCCGGAAUUAUUGGGCGUAAAGAGCUCGUAGGCGGUUUGUCGCGUCUGCCGUGAAAGUCCGGGGCUCAACCCCGGAUCUGCGGUGGGUACGGGCAGACUAGAGUGAUGUAGGGGAGACUGGAAUUCCUGGUGUAGCGGUGAAAUGCGCAGAUAUCAGGAGGAACACCGAUGGCGAAGGCAGGUCUCUGGGCAUUAACUGACGCUGAGGAGCGAAAGCAUGGGGAGCGAACAGGAUUAGAUACCCCUGUAGUCCCUGUCUCUUAUAC